CAUUGCCGGUUAAAAUUGGUGACGUGUAUGUCGGGAAGGGACUUAUUGACUUGGGGUCGAGCAUUAAUCUUAUACCUUUGUCAAUUAUCAAGAGGCUUGGCAACAUUGAGAUUAAGUCCAUCCGAAUGACGUUGCAAUUGGCGGAUAAAUCGACAACCCAUCCUCAUGGCGUAGCCCAAGAUGUUUUGGUGAAGGUCGACAAAU
rnacentral:lncRNA from 1 species